rnacentral:lncRNA from 1 species
GCUGAAGUGAGAGCAAAGGCGGAGAGCAGAUAAAAAUGCAGUCGUUGUAGGCGUUCAGAUAAGAUUAGAACCAGCCAAAGAACUUGUUCAGGGUCGCAGAACUGUCAAGGGGCAGGAACUUAUCGGCCAAGGUCUGGACAGAAGGCAGUCUCAGAAUGUCAGCUUGGAAUGGGGUGUGUGGUCUCUGCUGAAGCCGAGGACAGAGAAGAUACUCACUGUGGCAAUUUUCCUGGGCAAGACUCAUGAGGAGUGACCAGGUGAUGGGGUCAGGGAUUCACUGUAGCGGGGCUCAGGUUGCUCUUCCUUUUCUGGGCCUGCGUGAGGAGGUUGCUUUAUUUGAUGGUUUGGUGUGUUCCAUAAGCUCAUGAGUCUGAAGUUUUAGAUUUGAGUUUGAUAAACCAGUGCAUCCAUGUGCUUCCGAUUAAUUUUAUAAGUUCACAGAUGUUCAUUUUUUUAGCACAAUUAAUUUGUUUGACAGUUUGGCUUUGGGUUGUGCUUGGCAGAGGGUGGUUGUUUACUUUGUAUAAACAAGAUAUAGAGUCAUUCCACCUCAGCACUUAAAAUGGAGUAGCUCAUAGCACAUUGCUUUAUAAAGUAGAGUAACUUAGGCAUAGUCUGAGAACUACUGUUCUAUAUACAUCAUAGAGUAACUCAGAGCAGGAUACCAUCCUGCUCUCCACAGAAACUUACUUUACCAAAAAUUGAACACCAGGGGGAAAAGGUGUUUCAUGAUACCAUUGAUUAAAUAUCAAUUAGUAAUUAAGAUACUGUACAACAAGUCUGAAAUUACAAUUUUUAAAAUAUCAAUUGCAUAUCCAAGUUUUUUGUUCAUUUUAGUUAUUUGAGUAUUUUUUUGUAUUUUUUAAUUUUAUUUUUGUGGUACAAUUUGUAUGCUGUAAAAUGCCCAUGUCUUAAGUGUUUAUAGCUCAAUUAAUUUUUACCUAAGUACAUCCCCAUGUAAUCACUCAGUACACAAUAAAGAACCUACCCAUUGCCCCAGCAUAUAUUUUUAAUUUUACUGAACAGUAAGGUAAAAGACCAGAUUGUUUAAUAAAAAAAUAUUUGGUAACUCUGUAGCUGAAAUUUCCAUCAACUGAUUAUUAACUUAUGUUUGAAGGAGUCCAGGACUAUGCGCUGAUAAAUAUCUUAAAUAUAAUCUGCCUAAGCAAAAUGUACAUGCCAUUUAUUUGUAUGUGUAUAUGUAUUUCUAAUUAUCAUUAUUCAAUUUAUAGUUACUACAUGUUUUGUGCCAUUGUGGUAGGCAGAUAAAUUGAUCCUUAGUCAAAGAAAAAAGGAUGUCUCUUGACUGCUUGUUUUUGUAUACAAUAUUGUACAAUAAAAGACAAAUUAAAAGAAAAAAAUUUAGAACAAGGAUCCUGUUUGCAAUUAUUUACUGAGAUAAUUACUUAUUAACCUAAGAAUAUUUUUAUCACUUGAUCCUAACUCUCAUUUUAUGAAUAUAUUGGAUGCAAUACUGAUAAUAAUCUCUGCUCUAGAAACAACUUGAAAUUAACACUAGAACCAGGAAACCUAGUUCAAAUUAGCACAGGAAUUAAGUCAUUUGCAGUGAAAAGUCCAAAGGAGUGACAGUUUGGUAACCACAUCUUUGAUUCUAACAUACUUUUUUUCCCCGUAGGCUUCAGUUUCUUCAUACAGAAGAUGAGGAAAUUAAAUUAGAAAAUCUCUAGUAUAUCAGUUCCACUCUAACAUUUUCAUUAAGUCUAUGGCUUAAUGUGUAAAGACAAAUUCCAUUUAAUGAAUUAUGCCAUGGUCCUUGAUAAAAACUUGAUCAUCUUCAACCAUGAAGGACACAUAGAUAUUUUAAUUGGUAUUUCUCCCUGUUUUCAUGAUGAUAUGAAAUCAUUAAUCAGAGAAAUUAUGUUUCCUUGAUUAUCUCCCACUCUUUCAAACUGCCCAGAGAAAACCAUUGGAUUGUUCUUAAAAAUUAGGGACAUUUGUACAUAUUUCAUUUAAAGUCCACGUAAGCUUAACCAGUAUCCCUCCCCCUCUACUCCUGACUUAAAAUGAAGAAGCACACAUUAUUUAAUGAAGUAAUGUAUCUAUGGUUUCUAUAUUUGCUCAAAUUCUUGCUUUCUUCCUUGUUUUCUUUCUACCUUAGAGCUUGAUGGACUUAUCUUAAUUACCAAGGCUGAAUAAACACUAGGGGGCUCCCUGGAGUGCAGAAUGUGCAAGAAAACUGCGGAAUACAGAUUACAAAUUAUGUAUAAUACUUCCAUUUUUCCUUGUCCUCAGGGACCAAAAAGUACUCAAUGUCACAAUAAAAAAACAUAAUAAACAUUACUAAUAUUUCCUAAAUGACAUAUGUGCAUAUGUGU